UUGUCAUGCCAAUGGCACUGCCCGGUAGCUAAAUGCGGAAGAGAUAAGUGCUGAAAGCAUCUAAGCACGAAACUUGCCCCGAGAUGAGUUCUCCCUGAGACUAUAAGUCUCCUGAAGGAACGUUGAAGACGACGACGUUGAUAGGCCGGGUGUGUAAGCGCAGCGAUGCGUUGAGCUAACCGGUACUAAUGAACCGUGAGGCUUAACCUUACAACGCCGAAG
rnacentral:rRNA from 1 species